rnacentral:lncRNA from 1 species
CGCAGGGAACGACCAGGAAGGGAAAAACCCUUCUUCUUGCCCUAGCUCCUCAAACCACAAGCAAUUGAAUAAGUUUCUGGCCCUAAUUCGAAUGCAUGUCAGCGAAUUCUCAACUAUCUAAGAGUUCCCUACAUAGGGUAAGAAUCAUGUCAAAAUGGUUGAGAGCAUGGAAGGCUAACGGGCUAAGAAGACUCAAGUAAAUCUAUUGCUUGACGCGGCGCACCCGGACCGAGCACACACGACGUUGACCUUAAUACGCUUCCGUUUCAAGUUGUUUCUUUUGAAUGGGUCGAAACGUCCUUUUGUGUAGUAAAUGUUAAACUAGUUAUUAGGAUGAUGGUAGUAGUUUGAGGUUAGACUUUAUUUUGAUUAGUGUCAUAGAAUGUAUCUUGAAUGGUUUCGUUAAAAAGCAGGAAAAUGUUCACUUUUCGAAUGGGUCAUGUCAAAAUUUUUCCAAACAUUUGUAUGAACUUUAUGUUAUUGUCAAAAGUAAAAAGUGGGCGUUUCAGUUUUAUAGUGGUGAGUCGGUUAAUUAUGACCGGCUUCCAAACCGGCCCCAUAUGUAUGACAAACAUGUAAAACGGCAUACAAGAUUAUCUUAAAUAAUUGUCACAAGUAUAAAUGGUUUGUGCAUUGUGCACUUAAAUCAAUUUUCUUAAACUCUUUCCAAAUGGGUCGGUUAAUUGUAUUUACCAUUGUAAACUGACGUAUUUUCCAAAGACUAUUUGACAGGUACCUCACGUAAAUAGGCUGGAGCUACUUGGUAUCAAAUAAGAGGAUUUUGCAAAUCCUUAGAUGCCUGGAGUCUGUUAUUUCAGUUUCUUGUAUUUUUAUUUUAUCAUCCGUCUGUGGAUCUCUAUUAUAACCAAGUCUGUAUAUUCUUUUAUUUGGACACUUAGACAAUAUGGUUUAUAAUAGUAAUUUUUCACCAAGCCUUCCGCUUGCUAUUAUGUUGUGUAUAUU